GUAAAAUAUCAACAAUUGGAAUGCUACAGCAGGACAGGGGUUAUCACCCCUUCACUUACCACAAACAACAGGAUCUCUGUUGCCAUCUGGCCAUUGAGUGAUCCAGUUCCAGAAUCUCAUCCUGAGAGUCGGCUUCCUAGAACGAAUUCCAGUACCUAAGAUUACUGACAUCAGCUGUUGGAAUGGGUCAGCCUGGAGACAAGGAAGAAAGACACCGUGGAGCAUUAGGUGACUUUAACUCCUGGUUAAUGGUGAAUUUCUUCUCAGAAAAGACAAGAUACUCUUGAGGAACUGGCAAAUUACACGGAAGAAUCAGUCACUUUUUCUUAAACCAGCUAUUAAUUAAUGAAAAUGGAUAUAUACCAUCACAUUAUAGAGAGAAAAAUGAAGAGAUUGUGCAUCUAGGUGCUUUAAACAUCUUUGAGCCGCUAAUAUGUAUAAGGCAGAACUGGAGUGUCUAACAGAAAUAUAAUGCAAGCUGUAUAUGUAAUUUUAAAUUUUUUGCUUUAUACAGAAAAGUAUAAAGUAACAGCUUACUACAAGUCCUUCUGCUGCUCUUCCUACCACCCCUGAAAAAAAAAAAAAGAGAGAGAGAGAGAGAGAGAGAGAAUCAUACGAAGUCAACUUAUUGCAUACUAGAAUAAAACUGGAUUUGACAACUUUGUUGUA
rnacentral:lncRNA from 1 species